AUGACCGGCAGCACCGCCCGUCUCCGUCUGGAUGCCAUGCGAUGCCAGAGCCGAUGCCAGAGCCGAUGCCCAGUGCAUGUCUCUUGUAAUGGUCCGAACGCCUAUGCUUCUCCGUCCCCUCUUUCCGGCGCACUCGAACCUGUCAACCCGCGACUCCCCCUUCGCCGGCAACGCCGCUGCCGUGUCGUCCCCCGGUUCCAGGGUGCUCAUGGCUUGGCGUCGUGGCGAUGCCCCUGUCCAUCUCAGGAUGCGUAUAUUGAUCGACACCGGGCCAUCAUCGAGAAGCUUGGCUUGAAUCACAUGGAUACCUCCACAUGGCACCUUGAUGAAACCGUCGACGCACGGUGGGGCAAGAGAACUGGCAACAACAAUCCUAAUUGGCGUGCCAUGGCCUCCCACAUCAUGCUUGUCUCUUGGACCAUUUGGAAUGAAAGAAAUGAUAGAGUGUUCCACGCAAAAGCAUGCCGCGCGCCGUCUACUCUCCUUACCAUCAUCUUGAAGGAGGCCAAGCUUUGGGUUACCGCGGUUAGGAUGUGA
rnacentral:rRNA from 1 species